rnacentral:rRNA from 1 species
AAACUCAAAUGAAUUGACGGGGCCCGCACAAGCGGUGGAGCAUGUGGUUUAAUUCGAAGCAACGCGAAGACCUUACCAGGUCUUGACAUCCCCUGACAACCCGAGAGAUCGGGCGUUCCCCUUCGGGGGACAGGGUGACAGGUGGUGCAUGGUUGUCGUCAGCUCGUGUCGUGAGAUGUUGGGUUAAGUCCCGCAACGAGCGCAACCCUCGACCUUAGUUGCCAGCAUUCAGUUGGGCACUCUAAGGUGACUGCCGGCUAAAAGUCGGAGGAAGGUGGGGAUGACGUCAAAUCAUCAUGCCCCUUAUGACCUGGGCUACACACGUGCUACAAUGGGCGGUACAAAGGGUCGCGAACCCGCGAGGGGGAGCCAAUCCCAAAAAGCCGCUCUCAGUUCGGAUUGCAGGCUGCAACUCGCCUGCAUGAAGCCGGAAUCGCUAGUAAUCGCGGAUCAGCAUGCCGCGGUCGAAUACGUUCCGGGCCUU